AAAAGCUCACAUUUGAAAUCUGGCGCCUUCGGUGUCCGAGUUGUAAUUUGAAGAUUGUAACCUUGGGGUUGGCUCUUGUCUAUGUUUCUUGGAACAGGACGUCACAGAGGGUGAGAAUCCCGUGCGAUGAGAUGCCCAAUUCUAUGUAAGGUGCUUUCGAAGAGUCGAGUUGUUUGGGAAUGCAGCUCUAAGUGGGUGGUAAAUUCCAUCUAAAGCUAAAUAUUGGCGAGAGACCGAUAGCGAACAAGUACAGUGAUGGAAAGAUGAAAAGAACUUUGAAAAGAGAGUGAAAAAGUACGUGAAAUUGUUGAAAGGGAAGGGUUUGAGAUCAGACUCGAUAUUUUGUGAGCCUUGCCUUCGUGGCGGGGUGACCCGCAGCUUAUCGGGCCAGCAUCGGUUUGGGCGGUAGGAUAAUGGCGUAGGAAUGUGACUUUACUUCGGUGAAGUGUUAUAGCCUGCGUUGAUGCUGCCUGCCUAGACCGAGGACUGCGAUUUUAUCAAGGAUGCUGGCAUAAUGAUCCCAAACCGCCCGUCUG
rnacentral:rRNA from 1 species